GUCAGCUGGUCUGCUUCUAUGCCUGCUUCCUCCUGAGUCUCCCGCAAGGCUGCUUCUAAGUCAUUUUCUCCUGAUUCCACAUGGCCUGAUUAGGAAAAAAGAGGAAGAGAUAAUCUUCAACAAAGGUGGAAUUUUCAGAAAAGAAUGUCAACAACAAGAACAACAACAACAAAAGAGAGGAAGGGAGAAGAAUAGAAAUAUCUGCAGAAGUGAAAAAACAACUCAUCUGAAGGCGGACAGGUUAUCAAGCUCACGAACUUAUAGGAGGAGCUGGAGCCCUUUGUCAUAGAGCUGAAUGGACAUCUGGCCGACCACUCGGAGUAACUGAAGGAGGACAUUCAGCAGGAGUUGGGGAGCUGCCGGCCUGAGUGCUAUAUCCUGCACCAACAAGGUGAACCAGCAGAUCAGUGUCAAAAGGAUGGAAUAGACAUGAGGUGCCCAUCAGUGAAUAAAGCUCUCUCUUUCUUGUGACAACAAGCAAGCAAGCAAGCAAGCAAGCAAGCAAGAAGCUCCCAACUACUGUGAAUAAAUUGAGACAAAGAAAAUGUU